rnacentral:rRNA from 1 species
AGUGAACGCUGGCGGUAGGCCUAACACAUGCAAGUCGAACGGCAGCACAGUAAGAGCUUGCUCUUACGGGUGGCGAGUGGCGGACGGGUGAGGAAUACAUCGGAAUCUACUUUUUCGUGGGGGAUAACGUAGGGAAACUUACGCUAAUGCCGCAUACGACCUACGGGUGAAAGCAGGGGAUCUUCGGACCUUGCGCGAUUGAAUGAGCCGAUGUCGGAUUAGCUAGUUGGCGGGGUAAAGGCCCACCAAGGCGACGAUCCGUAGCUGGUCUGAGAGGAUGAUCAGCCACACUGGAACUGAGACACGGUCCAGACUCCUACGGGAGGCAGCAGUGGGGAAUAUUGGACAAUGGGCGCAAGCCUGAUCCAGCCAUACCGCGUGGGUGAAGAAGGCCUUCGGGUUGUAAAGCCCUUUUGUUGGGAAAGAAAAGCAGCAGGUUAAUACCCCGCUGUUCUGACGGUACCCAAAGAAUAAGCACCGGCUAACUUCGCG